AUUUAUUUGGCAGCUCAAUUAUAAACUAUUUUAGCCAUCCAAGUAAUCAUUUUAAAACUGUGUUAUUUCCUAUUUAUUUUAUUGUCAUAUUAACACUCAUAGUGCCUAUCAUAUUUUUCACUCUCGUCUUUCCCUCGCACAGUCGCACGCAAAGCAUCACAACGAAAACAGUGAAUCUGUCAACAUGCAAAAUUCCGGACUUGUUUUUGCACCCCAAUAUUGCUUUUUGGGUUGUAUUCGAUUGCCUUUGCCAGCCAAAGCCAGAAAUGCCAUCAAGUUCACGCAAAUGUGUCGUCGAUAUUAAUACCCUAUCGUUUAUUUCACGGAACAAGAAGAUAAUUCGCAUGAGUCGGAACUUCUGGCCGACAAGAAAGAUGGCGCAGUAUCUCCACAUGCUAACGACGUGCACUCCGAUGAGAUAUUACUCCGAAGCGGCCACCUUUGCAUUUUAGACGCAGCUGUAACGUGUAGUACAAAUUAAUUCUAAAAAUGCAAUUAAACAUUAAAAGCUA